rnacentral:misc_RNA from 1 species
UCACCCCUCAAGCCCCGCGCUUGGUGUUGGACGGCCGGUCGAGCGAUCGACCCCUCCUAAAGACAAUGACGGCGGCCUGCGGUUCCCCCGGUACACUGAGCUUUUCACCGGAGCACGUAUCGGACGAGGGCACCCGGGACCCGGUCCUCUCCUUUCACAAGGAAACUUCUAU